rnacentral:misc_RNA from 1 species
GAUGAAGAACGUAGCGAAAUGCGAUACGUAAUGUGAAUUGCAGAUUUCAGUGAAUCAUCGAAUCUUUGAACGCACAUUGCGCCCGCCACUAUUCUGGCGGGCAUGCCUGUUCGAGCGUCAUUUCAACCAUCAAGCGCCUCGCUUGUGUUGGGGCCCUGCGGCUGCCGCAGGCCCCUAAAUCCAGUGGCGGGCUCGUCGUCGUACCGAGUGCAGUAAACAUCCUCGCUCAGGGAACCCGACGGGUGCCGGCCGUGAAACCCCCCCUCCUCAAGGUUGACCUCGGAUCAGGUAGGAAUACCCGCUGAACUUAAGCAUAUCAAUAAGCGGAGGA